AGUAACACGUAGUCAACCUACCCUAUGGACAAGAAUAAUCUCGGGAACCUGGGCAUAAUUCUUGAUAGAUCAUAAUGCCUGGAAUGGUUUAUGGUUAAAAUGAUUCGUCGCCAUAGGAUGGGACUGCGGCCUAUCAGCUUGUUGGUGAGGUAAUGGCCCACCAAGGCGAUUACAGGUACGGGCUCUGAGAGGAGAAGCCCGGAGAUGGGUACUGAGACACGGACCCAGGCCCUAUGGGGCGCAGCAGGCGAGAAAACUUUGCAAUGUGCGAAAGCACGACAAGGUUAAUCCGAGUGAUUUCUGCUAAAGAAAUCUUUUGCCAGUCAUAAAACCACUGGUGAAUAAGGGGUGGGCAAGUUCUGGUGUCAGCCGCCGCGGUAAAACCAGCACCUCAAGUGGUCAGGAUGAUUAUUGGGCCUAAAGCAUCCGUAGCCGGCUUUGUUAGUUUUCGGUUAAAUCCAUGCGCUCAACGCAUGGGCUGCCGAAAAUACUGCAUAGCUAGGGAGUGGGAGAGGUAGACGGUACUCAGUAGGAAGGGGUAAAAUCCUUUGAUCUAUUGAUGACCACCUGUGGCGAAGGCGGUCUACCAGAACACGUUCGACGGUGAGGGAUGAAAGCUGGGGGAGCAAACCGGAUUAGAUACCCGGGUAGUCCCAGCUGUAAACGAUGCAGACUCGAUGAUGCAUUGGCAUAAUAGCCAGUGCAGUGUCGCAGGGAAGCCGUUAAGUCUGCCGCCUGGGAAGUACGUACGCAAGUAUGAAACUUAAAGGA
rnacentral:rRNA from 1 species